GAGUUUGAUCGUGGCUCAGGAUGAACGCUGGCGGCGUGCCUAAUACAUGCAAGUCGAGCGAACAGACGAGGAGCUUGCUCCUCUGACGUUAGCGGCGGACGGGUGAGUAACACGUGGAUAACCUACCUAUAAGACUGGGAUAACUUCGGGAAACCGGAGCUAAUACCGGAUAAUAUAUUGAACCGCAUGGUUCAAUAGUGAAAGACGGUUUUGCUGUCACUUAUAGAUGGAUCCGCGCCGCAUUAGCUAGUUGGUAAGGUAACGGCUUACCAAGGC
rnacentral:rRNA from 1 species